AGAGUUUGAUCCUGGCUCAGAGCGAACGCUGGCGGCAGGCUUAACACAUGCAAGUCGAGCGGGCGUAGCAAUACGUCAGCGGCGGACGGGUGAGUAACGCGUGGGAACGUACCUUUUGGUUCGGAACAACACAGGGAAACUUGUGCUAAUACCGGAUAAGCCCUUACGGGGAAAGAUUUAUCGCCGAAAGAUUGGCCCGCGUCUGAUUAGCUAGUUGGUGAGGUAAUGGCUCACCAAGGCGACGAUCAGUAGCUGGUCUGAGAGGAUGAUCAGCCACAUUGGGACUGAGACACGGCCCAAACUCCUACGGGAGGCAGCAGUGGGGAAUAUUGGACAAUGGGCGCAAGCCUGAUCCAGCCAUGCCGCGUGAGUGAUGAAGGCCCUAGGGUUGUAAA
rnacentral:rRNA from 1 species